rnacentral:misc_RNA from 1 species
AACUUUUAGCAAUGGAUCUCUUGGCUCUCGCAUCGAUGAAGAACGCAGCGAAAUGCGAUAAGUACUGUGAAUUGCAGAAUUCAGUGAAUCAUCGAAUCUUUGAACGCACCUUGCGCUCCUUGGUAUUCCGAGGAGCAUGCCUGUUUGAGGGUCAUUAAUAUAUAUAUAUCAAACUUCUCUUUUUUGAGUCGUUUGGAUGUGGGGGUUUGCUGGCCUCUUAAAGGGGUUCAGCUCUCCUGAAAUGCAUUAGCAGAACAACCUUGUUCAUUGGUGUGAUAACUAUCUACGCUAUUGAAUGUGAAGGGCAGUUCAGCUUUCUAACAGUCCUUGGACAAAUUUGUCAUUAAUGUGACCUCAAAUCAGGUAGGACUACCCGCUGAACUUAAGCAUAUCAAUAAGCGGAGGCU